GAUGAAGAACGUAGCGAAAUGCGAUAAGUAAUGUGAAUUGCAGAAUUCAGUGAAUCAUCGAAUCUUUGAACGCACAUUGCGCCCGGUAGUAUUCUGCCGGGCAUGCCUGUUCGAGCGUCAUUUCAACCAUCAAGCCCCAGCGCUUGUGUUGGGGGCCUGCGGCUGCCGCAGCCCCCUAAAAGCAGUGGCGGGCUCGCUAUCACACCGAGUGCAGUAGUUCAUCUUCUCUCCGGUCUUGUGAGGCGGGUUCCGGCCGUGAAACACCCCACUACAUUCAAGGUUGACCUCGGAUCAGGUAGGAAUACCCGCUGAACUUAAGCAUAUCAUAGCGGAGGA
rnacentral:misc_RNA from 1 species